rnacentral:rRNA from 1 species
AUACGGAGGAUCCAAGCGUUAUCCGGAAUCAUUGGGUUUAAGGGUCCGUAGGCGGGUUUGUAAGUCAGUGGUGAAAGUUUUCGGCUCAACCGGAAAAUUGCCAUUGAUACUGCAAGUCUUGAAUCAUUAUGAAGUGGUUAGAAUGUGUAGUGUAGCGGUGAAAUGCAUAGAUAUUACACAGAAUACCGAUUGCGAAGGCAGAUCACUAAUAAUGUAUUGACGCUAAGGGACGAAAGCGUGGGUAGCGAACAGGAUUAGAUACCCUAGUAGUCC